GCCAGUGUGGGUUAGUGGUUUGAGUGCUGGAGUAUGACUCUGGAGACCAGGGUUCAAAUCCCGGCUUAGACA
rnacentral:tRNA from 1 species